CCCCGGCUAACUACGUGCCAGCAGCCGCGGUAAUACGUAGGGGCGAGCGUUAUCCGGAAUUACUGGGCGUAAAGAGUAUGUAGGUGGUUAAGUAAGCGUAGGGUUUAAGGCGACAGCCCCAACUGUCGUAUGCCCCGCGAACUGUUUAACUUGAGUACAGGGAGGGGAAGGCGGAAUUCCUAGUGUAGCGGUGAAAUGCGUAGAUAUUAGGAGGAACACCAGUGGCGAAGGCGGCCUUCUGGACUGUAACUGACACUGAGAUACGAAAGCGUGGGUAGCAAACAGGAUUAGAUACCCUGGUAGUCCACGCCGUAAACGAUGAGCACUAGGUGUCGGGCUCGCAAGAGUUCGGUGCCGGAGCAAACGCAUUAAGUGCUCCGCCUGGGGAGUACGCACGCAAGUGUGAAACUCAAAGGAAUUGACGGGGACCCGCACAAGCAGCGGAGCAUGUGGUUUAACUCGAAGCAACGCGAAGAACCUUACCAGGACUUGACAUCCCACUGAAAGCUCGGUUAAAACUGAGCCCCUCUUCGGAACAGUGGAGACAGGUGGUGCAUGGUUGUCGUCAGC
rnacentral:rRNA from 1 species